AGCGCUCGCUGGCUGGCUGGCUAACGGAAAGGCUGGCUGGACUCGGGGAUCCAGCCACACUGCUGGCGGGCAGCAUGCUGUCCACCCUGCGGGUGCCUUUCUCAGACUAGGGCCCGCAUGAAUUCCGCCUCCCGGGAGAAGCUGACGUCGGCAUGCCUUCCAGGGGCAGCGGCUGCCCUCCAGGGUCUGGAACUUGGGGGUCAUGCUGCCUCCAACUCCUGACUCUGUGGCCCCAAGAGGAAGAGGAAGCUGGGUGGGAUCUUAGGGGCCAUGUGGACUAGGCAGCCCACUGGGGAGUGGGCACGUGAAAAGUACUUUGGGACACGGAGUUCCAAUCAAACAGAAGACUGGAACCUCAGCACCUCCAAAGCUCACGGACCCGCUGGAGGCGGGGGGCUAUGGGACCCCAUCUUAAGCCAAGAAAUCAGCUCAGGCCUGCAUGGGCCUUCCUCGAAUCUUGAAGGAACUGUGGACAUCUUUCAGCAUGGGGAGCAAGAGUGAGUCCCAUAAACACCAACUGCAUCCCCACUCUGAGUCUGGGCAGUGCUGGCCCCAGGCACAGGGUGUUGGGCUGGAAAUGGCCUGCUCUUCCCUCUCUUGAACAGGGGGGGUGCCAGGUCCAGAGAGAGAGCCUGGCCUGCCUGGGGUACCCGGAGUGGGACGCAUGGCAAAGCCUUGAAUGCAGAGGGGCUGCAUGAGCAGGCGUUGGCUGGCACUAUCUGAGCACCGCAUAUACCCUCCCCACGGCAUACAGCAGCCCUUGAGAUGAGUCAGGUGGCUUCCUGGGAUGGCAGGGAUGGGGAGAAGAUGGUCAAACCAGACGCUGCUUCAGCGACACUUCUAUAGGGCCAUGGGGUUGCAAAGGGAUCAGAGGUUUGUCCCGGUCACUUACACAAAAAGCUCAACCCCAACGCUCCCGGGUCAGCAAAACUGAAAAGCAGAACCCCUUCUUGGGUGGUACUGCCUCCAAGGGCACCGCAAAGGCCACAGAAAGAAAACAAGGGAAGGGAACCAAACUUUUCCUCAGCCUCGGGGGAGAACUAGACCAUGCUGGAGGCUGGUGGAAUGGAGCCUCCAACUCUUUCCUGAUGGGACCCUUGCCAGAAGGACCCCGUCCCUCCUAGUGGCGAGGACAGAACUCCUUAAGUUCAGAAUCCUGAUCCUUCUGACAGUAGUCGGGUGGCAACUGUGUUACAUGGGGGGCAGGGCAUCUAUGCAGACAGCAGGACCUGGCCCAGCUACUGUUUGCAUGCAGUGAGCUCAUCGAUGAGGCUCCCCUCCAUGCAGUGGCUGCUCUGGAACCGCGAAGGGCUCCACUGACACAGGCAAGCGCUCAGACACUCGAGCCACGUUUAGUCAGCCCUCCUGGCUCGGGCUCCCCAGCCCCGGAUACUACCCAUAGAUGGAAGUGAUGAGGCCUCAGGCAGAAUCCCAGGGCACCAUCACCAGCCCUUCCCCUCAGCUUCCCUGGGGCAAUGUUCAGGCUCAGAAUGAGGCACUACCGAGUUGGAAGAGAACUGGUUGGACCCCAACAGUGAAUGCCCCACAGAAAGGGCUGCUCUCUGGACCCCACGGCCAUCUCCAGAGAGACCCCUUCCCAAGGUGUCUGCAGCCUGGGCCAGGCCUUCCAUAGGCAGUGAUGAUUCUGAGCUGGUUCUCUUCAGCCAGGCUUAGAGGAGGAGGGGUUUGAAGAAAUGCCCUUCCAUGACAUACAAGUGACCCACAGAGAGCCAAAGCCCUGCUCAGGUAAGAGAGGAUGGGGCCGGGCGCGGUGACUCACGCCCGUAAUCCCAGCACUUUGGGAGGCCAACGUGGGUGGAUUACGAGGUCAAGAGAUCGAGACCAUCCUGGCUAAAAAUACAAAAAAAUUAGCUGGGUGUGGUGGUGGGCACCUGUAGUUUCAGCUACUUGGGAGGCUGAGGCAGGAGAAUGGUGUGAACCUGGGAGGCGGAGCUUGCAGUGAGCCGAGAUCGUGCCACUGCACUCCAGCCUGGGCGACAGACAGAGCGAGACUCCGUCUCAAAAAAAAAAGAGAGGGUGGGAGUGCCUCUGGCAAGCCCACUCCAAUCCCCAUUCGACCCCUACCUUCAGCCAUCGAGACACAUGGGCUCUGCACAGAGCAGGACUUGCAGGGGCAGAGGUUGGAGAUGGGAUCAGCUGGAGCUGCCUUGGCCCUGAGCAACCCAUGUAAAAAACAGCAGGUGGGAAACGGACACAGCCAGGCAACAAAACUACAGUCAAGACCAGCCUGUGUGCUCUUGUCCCAGGGGACAGUGUCUCCCAGAACUACCUUUCC
rnacentral:lncRNA from 1 species